UGGGGAAUAUUGGACAAUGGGGGAAACCCUGAUCCAGCAAUGCCGCGUGAGUGAAGAAGGCCUUAGGGUUGUAAAGCUCUUUCGCCCGCGAAGAUAAUGACGGUAGCGGGAGAAGAAGCCCCGGCUAACUCCGUGCCAGCAGCCGCGGUAAUACGGAGGGGGCUAGCGUUGUUCGGAAUUACCGGGCGUAAAGCGUACGUAGGCGGAUGCGCAAGUUGGGGGUGAAAUCCCGGGGCUUAACCUCGGAAUUGCCCUCAAAACUGCACGUCUUGAGACCGAGAGAGGUAAGGGGAAUUCCUAGUGUAUAGGUGAAAUUCGUAGAUAUUAGGAAGAACACCAGUGGCGAAGGCGCCUUACUGGCUCGGUACUGACGCUGAGGUACGAAAGCGUGGGGAGCAAACA
rnacentral:rRNA from 1 species